UCUGUGGUCACGCUAACGCCGACGAUUCUAGAAUCUCGACUUCUUUCAAUUUUCACAAUUCACCGUAUGUGCCCACUGCCCAUAUAUUUGGUUGAUUAAAGUUUAUUUAAUGCAUCAUGUGAAUUGCAAAUUACAUAUACUAAGUGAUACAAGAAUUAUAAAGUCAACGUUGAUGCGUAGAGUUUAUACGUGAUUUAUGAAUAGGACUGGGCUAUUUGUAAUUUGUAUAGCGAGACUGAUGAUGGCAUCAAAUGAAGAGGGUUUCUCCAUCAGGAUACAUUCUCUGAUGUAUGAGCAAGAUGAUUUUAGGUUCCAUGAAAAUAUGUCGUUUACUAUAUCAUCGGCAAGACCUUCGAAAUUGUAUUGGAUGCUUAGAUACUUGUGAUCAGUGGCAUAUGUCUCAAUUUCUUCGUCUGGACCUUGUUUGGUGAAUAGAUCCUUGUAGGUGAUCUUGUCUAUUUCUGUAUUGAACGAGUAAAAUAUCUGAAGAGCGUCUGAGCUAAUAGUUUCUAACAAAAUGGCUACCUUUUGUCUGAUUCUUCUUCCAAAUUGUUGGCAAUCAUGUAAAUAACAAGACUAGUGUUGAAGUUUCUCCAAGCCAAAGGCAUGUUCGAGGUGUUGAUAUCAA